rnacentral:lncRNA from 1 species
GUCUCCUUUGACUAAAAAAGUUCAUAGCAUUUAAUAAGUACACUGGCAUAUUUCAGCGAAAAACAAUAGAUAUAAAAAUAGUACUCCUAGUAGAAAUUAAGAUAUGAGAAAGAAUAAAUGUCAAUCUUAAUUUCUGGGAUAAUUAAAACCGGAUGCUUUGGGCAAUUGUGAAAAGGGGUGUCAUUUCCAAGACCAGUAAUCAUUUCUUUCUUUCAGCUAGGUAAUGCACGACAUGCAUUUCCUCAAACAUGGCUGAUUAGGACAGCACUUUGCAAUGAGGUUACAUGGUCUGAAAGCAAGCCCAUGAAAAUGGGAAGACCAUAGUAAUGUAUAGUAUAGUGAAGACAAAUUCCAAGAGUUUGGUUCUAUCCUGCCACCAUCCCUGUUUACCUAUUCCGGUCUCAUGAUCUGCUGCUUACACCUGUUAAAUUGUUUGCUCUUUGUGUACCUUGGCAUCCACCUGCCACACGCAAUUUCUGCCUAAUUUGAAACCAGUGCUCAUCCAAUAGAUGUAGCACCAACAACCCCACCAUCACCAUCACCCUCACCCUCACCCUCACCCUCACCCUGUUUGCCUCUUUCAAAUCAGCCGCUACAUAUGGUCAGGUUUUUGGUGGAAUAACAUUACAUUGCUUUCACAUCCUUUUUCAGCAUCAAUUGAUCGGGAGCAAAGCGAUACCUACGAGAAACGAAGACAUUAAGUAAUGAUUUGAACAUUUGCAUCAAUGAUAAGUGCAUGAUUUCUCGAUCAAAAGAAUUACCGAAGCUGAACAAAGUCAUACAUGAAUCCUGGUAUUUUACAAAUAGUUUGUUUAAUCAAGUCAUUACGGAUUAGAGCAAACUGUUCUUGAAAACAAUGACAGAACACAACACAACACACAUAUCUUGCUAAGACAAUUGUUGGAAUCUCUAUCACUACCACCACGUAACAAGCAUAACUGGUAUUUUAUUCUCAAAUCCCUGACCCUUUCCCAACCUUGAGCCUCUCACCUAAUAGGACAAACAUGACCAAAUUUAAAACUACAAAUGAUAAGAGAAAAAAAAAGAAAAGAAAGAGGGACUGUCUCAAAGCUUUCUAACUAUCUGUCUUGCGGUGCAGUUGCAGAUUAAGAAGGAAUCAUGGCCAUUGUUGGUAAACAAAACAAAAAUCAAAUUAAGAAGCCAUAAAAUGAGGGGAUGAAGGGGAAGCAAAUGCGGGAAAGUGAGAGGAGAGGGACAAGAGCCCGGCAUGCACACCCUAAGACACGCG